CGGACCGCUCGCGAGUCUUGGUAAAUCGGAGCUAGAGUGCUGGUUAUCGGGUUAUUGGAGAGCUACACAUAAUGAACAGCUUAUAGGUCAAGUGGAAACAAAGACCCUUCCCAGGAACACUGGGUGACAGGCAGAUAACAGCCUGAAUGGAAAGUCUGCCUGUUGCAGAAAAUGCUUACACAUACAGUAUGCAUAUAAACAGAAAGAGAAACAGAGAGAAGGAUGUCUCAGCUUUAUGCUAGUCUGCCCAGAGAUGUUUGGAUUAUAACUGGAAACCCAUGCUCACUACACACAAAGAUGUAAAAUGGAAAGCUGUACACGUUGUCAGCUUGUGUCACCAUGCUGCCCAAUAACUCAGGACAACUUCCAUCUUCUGCUGACCAAACCUUGACUUGGGCAUCCAUCCCACCACUUAGAAUUACCACUCCUGAAGGAAAGAACCUGCAGCAAUUGACAUCAUAUAUGUGGCCGGAUAGA